rnacentral:rRNA from 1 species
AUGGAGCUCGCAUGUAGAGUCAUCCUGCUCCUCUUGCUGCCCAUCAACCUUGCUGUCGCCCAAAAUACUUCGAGCGAAGAAGCACAGGAGCUCCAUGUUGGGGUUAUCCUUGACUUGGGGUCCACUGUUGGCAAAAUGGCACGGACCAGCAUUUCACUGGCUAUGGAGGACUUCUAUGAUGUUCAUCGGAACUAUAGCACCAAGCUUGUCCUCCACAUCAGAGAUUCCAUGAGUGAUGAUGUCCAAGCUGCAUCUCAAGCUAUUGACCUGCUAGAGAAUUACAAUGUAGAAGUCAUCAUUGGUCCUCAGAAAUCUUCGCAAGCUAUAUUUAUCUCAAAACUUGGAAACAAAAGUCAUGUCCCGGUCAUAUCCUUCACGGCAACAAGCCCAUCCCUAUCAUCUAAAACUCUUCCAUAUUUUGUGCGAGCAACAAUAAAUGACUCGGCACAGGUAAAUUGCAUUGCCUCCAUAGUUAAAACCUACGGGUGGAGAGAGGUGGUGUCUAUCUAUGAAGACACUGAAUAUGGUAGAGGUAUCAUACCAUACCUUGUUGAUGUGCUACAAGAAGUUGAUGCACGUGUUCCCUACCAAAGUGUGAUCCCUUUGUCAGCAACCAGUGAACAAAUUACUCUAGAACUCUAUAAGCUGCUGACAAUGCAAACGACGGUCUUUGUUGUACAUAUGUCAUUUACCUUGGCCUCCCUCUUCUUUAUAAAGGCAAGAGAAGUAGGGAUGAUGAACAAAGGAUAUGCAUGGAUCAUGACAGAUGGAGUAACCAAUCUAAUAGAUUCACUGAAUCCUUCUGUCCUAGAAUCAUUGAAUGGUGCCUUAGGUGUUGAGUUUUAUGUUCCCAAAACCAAGGAACUUGAUGAGUUUGCCAUGAGAUGGAAUAUGAGGUUCCAGAUUGACAACCCAACCGAUCCACCAUUGAAAUUGAACAUCUUUGGACUAUGGGGAUAUGAUACAAUCUGGGCAGUAGCACAUGCCGCAGCAAAAGUUGGACAUGCAAAUGCCACAUUUCAGAAACCAGGUGCCACAAGAAAUUCAGUAAGUUUGGAAACCUUGGAAACAUCUAAUAAUGGUCCAAAACUGUUGCAAGCAAUCCUGCAGAAUAAAUUUAGAGGCCUCAGUGGCAAUUUUGACCUUUCAAAUAGGCAGCUGCAAAUUUCAACAUUUCGAAUAAUAAAUGUAGUAGGGAAAGGAUGGAGAGAUAUUGGAUUUUGGACAGCACAAAAUGAACUCUCGCAGCAAUUAAAUAAAACCAGACGGGCAACAACACAUCUAAAUCCAGUUAUCUGGCCAGGAGAGUCCAUAGAAGUACCCCGAGGUUUUGAGAUUCCUAUAAGCGGGAAGAAACUUCAAGUUGGUGUGUGCACAAGUGGAUAUCCAGAAUUUGUGAAGGUCGAAAAGGAUCAUAUCACAGGUGCAACUAAAGCAAUCGGUUUUUCAGUGGAUGUAUUUGAAGAGGCAGUUAAGAGACUUCCUUAUGCAGUCCCUUAUGAAUAUGUACUAUUUAGUACCAAGGAUGACGGAAGUAUGGAAGAUUACAAUGAUUUUGUCUACCAAGUUUAUCUUAAGAAAUAUGAUAUAGUAAUUGGAGAUAUAACAAUAAGGUAUAACAGAACAUUCUACGCUGACUUCACUCUGCCAUACACAGAAUCAGGAAUAGCAAUGGUCGUUCCAGUCAGGGAUAGCAUAAACAAGAAUACAUGGAUUUUCUUGAAGCCGCUAGAACCUGGAAUGUGGUUUGGAAGCAUCGUAUUCUUUAUCUACACUGGUGUGGUCGUAUUAAUAUUGGAGUUUCUAGGCAAUAACGAGAACGUCCGUGGACCAAUUCCCAGACAGUUGGGGAUUAUGAUCUUUUUCUCCAUAUUUGAAGAGAAAGAGCUUGUGCAACGCUUUCUGUCCCGGAUAGUUUUGAUCAUUUGGUUGGUUUUCCUGAUGGUACUUACAUCAAGUUACACUGCAAGCUUGACAUCAAUGCUAACUGUACAGCAGCUUCAGCCAACUGUAACAGAUGUGCAUGAGCUCCUAAAAAGUGGAGAAUAUGUAGGAUAUCAUCGUGGCUCCUACGUCAAGGGACUUUUGGAAGAACUUGGUUUUGACAGGUCGAAGAUCAAGCCCUAUAAUUCCCCUGAUGAUUUUCACAAUGCACUUUCAAGAGGAAGCAACAAUGGUGGUAUUGCUGCACUUGUGCAUGAGGUUCCAUACAUUAAACUAUUUCUGGCAAAUCACUGCAAAGGGUACACUAUGGUGGGACCAAUUUAUAAAGCUGCAGGUUUUGGAUAUGCAUUAUCAAAGGGAAAUCCCUUGAUUGGAGAUAUCUCCAAGGCAAUCCUCAACGUAACUGGGGGUGAUACUAUGAUUCAGAUUGAGAAGAAAUGGAUUGGAGAUCGAAACAAUUGCCAGAACUUGGGCCCAGUAACUGGUUCAAGCAGACUCACAUUUGCCAACUUCAGGGGAUUAUUUAUCCUUACUGGAGUUGCUUCAACUUCUUCCCUUUUGAUAGCAUUGAUAAUUUAUUUCUACAAAAAGAAGCGCAAGUCAACAGAGAUUGUGUUAGACAAUGAGAAUCGACCAGAAGAAAGUGGAAUAAAUGAGGAAAAUAGUGAGGCCCAAGAAGUAAAUCAAGGAGAUGAACAAAAUACACAGCAAGCAAGCCAGGGUGAAAGUGGGCUAGAAGAACAAAGCAGUUUAGAAGUGGUAUCUGAGACAACUGACAGACAAGCAUUGUUAUGCCCAACAAUGGGCCAACUGUCGUUUUCAGGGGUAAAAUAG